ACAGUGGUGGUUAGUGGUAGAAUUCUUCCCUUCCACGUGGAGGAGACCCAGGUUCGAUUCCCGGCCACCGUA
rnacentral:tRNA from 1 species